GACCGUAGCAUCCGUGGCACUAACUCAGAGGCGUCCUGUUGCCUUAGUAACCGCAGAAGCUCUCCGCCCGAGGUCGCUGUCCCGCGGGGCGGCGAGCCCUGUGCCGCCCCGGGCUUGCGGGGACACAAACCCCAGUUCCUUCAGGAAAUCUUUCCAGAGCGAUGAGGAGAGACGGGAUAGCUUCGAUUGCCUCAUUUCUGUCAGCAAGGGGGAGCCCUCGCUUUUAGUCUUUAUCCUAAAGUACUUUUAUUUGUCAACGUUAAGGUAAAAGGCCACUUGCCUUGACAUGGGCGUAAGAAAUACUUUUAUUUUACAGGUGACUGUAAUUGUUUAAAAUUAGUCAACUGUGAAAACAUUGGCAGUCAACCUUUCACUUCCGAACUACCUUUUCUAUGAGAAAAACGUGUUCCCUGCUUGCUCUUUAUAUGCUUGCUAGACGCGUGUUUUGUUAUCUGGGUGCCCCGUGUGUUUCUCCUCACGCAGAUGACAUCAUGAAUCCCUGCUACAUUCUGAAAUUUUCAGAUACGUUAACAGAUGCAGAAAGAGGCGCUCCGAGUGGAGUUGGCCACCGUUAGGGAUGUUCUCCACCAUCUCAUUCCUAAUCGCCUUGGUUUAAAGGACUCUUUGGGUUGCAAACAGCAGUUAAAAGACAAGUCAAACUAACUCAACUCUGCCCUCCUCCUGGUUGGCUGCAAUUUUGUCUGUGUUGGCAAGACGGCUGCCAGCACAGACCUGAAGAGAUGUGAGUAACUGGAGUGGCUUAAAUAAUUUGGAAUUAGUUUGCGAAGUCUUAUGUCUGAGCCUUGGUUUCCUCAUCUGUAAAAUGACAACAAUAAUACCUCAUCCACAGAGUUUUAUGUGAGUAUUUAGUGAGCUCAUGAAGGUGUGUAUCUCUGUAAUUAGGUACAUGGGAUUUGGAGUCACAUCUUGCUCCAUCACUUAUUAAAUUACUUGUGAAAAGUGAGGAUACUUAGAAUACCUGUAUCAUAGUGUUAUUGGGGUUUAAAAUGAUAGAGUGUACGUAAAACCUCGAAUAGGGUGCUUGGUACGUAGACCUGCUCAAUAAACGGUAGCUAUUAUUUGAGUAGAAUUUUGAAAAGUGACUAUUCAUGGUUUGAAUGAAAAGGUAAACUCAGGCAUGGAAAAUGGCAGGCAAAGGGCAUGGACAGUGAUUCAUAAAGGGGCAGUUUGGGGUGGGGACAGCAAGCUUGGGCAGUGCCCGGGUGUAGAAUGUGGCUCUUGCUCCUUGUAUCAAACUAUGAUAAAAAGAUAGACACCGAGAGAUGGUCUGAGGAAGAGCCUGUCACCCGACCUGGAGGUCAGCACCUUGGGAGGUUCCAUUAGGGAUCCCGUGAUUUUGGAGAUAUUCUUUUUACAGAAUUACAGAGUCUAGUUUAGUGCUUUAUUUUUGAUCAGUGUUUGUUGCCCUGACUUGAAUUGCCUUCAGAGUCAGAGAUGGUCUUCUUAAUGCCUUCAAUGGUGGCAAAUCUUCCUUUUAUGAGAGCAGAUUCUGUAAUGCAGGGCCAAAUCUAGUGAAUAAGGUGAGGAAUUAAGCUGACUAACAACUAAACUAACUAAACGGGUGCGAUUAUUCUUUUCUCUGACUUUUGAAAAUGUUUUCAUUUGUAUCAUUUAAAAAAAUCAGUUUCAAAAUAUCAUAUUUUACCCAUGGAAGAUGUCAACUUAAAUUAUGGAGUAUAUGCUACAUACCAGGCAUGAUAUUAAGUGAUUAAUAAACAUUUCUUGUUGGAGGACCCAUUGUCUGUGGGGAGAGAGAACAGAAGAUCAGUCAUCAUAAGGCAGUGAGAUAAGACUUGUGGAGUUUGUUCAGGUUCUGUGAGCAGUCAUAGGCUGUGGGUAUGAGUGAGG
rnacentral:lncRNA from 1 species